rnacentral:rRNA from 1 species
AUGCAGUACUACGCAGGCGGUACCUCCUUUAACUCACCACAUGCUGGAGCUCAUGGCCGUGACUGCUUCUGCAUCAGCGGUCCCAAACACAUAGCUCAAUCCGUUGACUGGAGCAACGAGGAGCACCGCCGUUGCAUCGCGGCUUGCCUUGUGAAAGCUACUUACAUCAUGGAGGAGGACCGGCCAAAGUGCAGGGUGUAUGACAUGGGGUUGGCGCCGCCGUGGUGGCAGAGCUUCCACUUCGAGCUGCGGGAUCUGCUCAAGUGCGGCACCGAGAACGCGGACGAGUUCAUCUUCGGCGCCGUAUUCGAGUACUGCCCCCCCGCGGGGUGGCAGCGCCACCCGUCGGCCCCAAACUACGUUUUCGCCCUGCGCGGCACCAUGCCUCGGCACCCAAAGUCCGCCCACGACCUGUACAACGACAUCAAGGUCUUCCUCAGCGACCUGCCAUGCUGCAGACGGACCCAGAAGGCGCGUCAGGCGGUGGCCAACAUGCUCAUCCGUAAGGGCACGGAGCGCUGUGUGUUGUGGCUGGCGGGGCACUCGCUGGGCGCGUCGCUGGCGCUGGAGGUGGGGCGGGACAUGGCGGAGCAGCACCAGGCGUACCUGCCGACCUUCCUCUUCAACCCGCCCAACGUGUCACCGAUGCCGGCCUUCAACCUCCUCAACCCGUCGGAGGUGGCGAAGAAGGACGUGUUCACGGGGAGCUACCUCGUGAAGGCGGCGCUCGGGGCCACGGUCAUGAGGUCAUACUGCACCCGCAUGGAGAAAGUGUUCCAGCGCCUCUCCCCGUGGGUGCCGGAGCUGUACGUGAACGAGAGGGACAUCAUUUGCCAGGGUUUCAUCGACUACUUCGAGCAGCGGCAGAAGGUGGAGGAGCGCAUCGCUGGCGUCGGCAGGGCAGCCAUGAAGCUGUCGUAUCGCGACAUGCUCUCCUCCCUCAUCGGCAGCAGCAAGGAGCAGCCGCACCUCUUGCCGUCCGCGAGGCUGUGGAAGAACUCCAACACAACAUUCGGCACGCACGACCUCAUGCAGUGGUGGAGGCCGGACAGCGAGCUAAAGCUCAGCUGCAGGAAGUUCACCUACCCCAGAGCAUGA